UUCGUUCAUCCUCGCAAGAGGACGCAAAAGCCGACUGAAGGAACGGGAA
rfam:Marine metagenome 1092341855901, whole genome shotgun sequence.